GGUCUGCGCGGAAGAUGUAACGGGGCUAAACUAUGCACCGAAGCUGCGGAUUCAUCUUAGGAUGAGUGGUAGGGGAGCGUUCUGUAAGCGGUUGAAGGUGUACCGGGAGGUAUGCUGGACGUAUCAGAAGUGCGAAUGCUGACAUGAGUAACGAUAAUGCGGGUGAAAAACCCGCACGCCGGAAGACCAAGGGUUCCUAUCCCAUGUUA
rfam:Pseudoalteromonas sp. P1-25 AN393_contig000155, whole genome shotgun sequence.